rnacentral:lncRNA from 1 species
ACUCCGCCCCAUACAACAUGGCCGGUCUAACCACAGCUCUAUAAAAUUUCCCCUUGAGUUUCUGUGGAACUUUCUUGUCGCACAGGAUUCCUGAUGCAAGCCUCCACUUUGACCACCCCGCUCCUAUUCGAUGAGUGACGUCCCCAUCAAUCUCUCCGUCCCCCUGAAUCACCGACCCAAGAUAUCUGACACUGUCCCUCUUGGCGAGGACAUGACCCUUGAUAGGAAAUGUUGGAGGUCUACUAUCAGG